GACGUAGGGGGCCAGCGUUGCUCGGAAUUACUGGGCGUAAAGGGUUCGUAGGCGGUGCGGCAAGUCGGAAGUGAAAUCUCUGGGCUUAACUCAGAGGCUGCUCCCGAAACUGCCGUGCUUGAGUGCGGGAGAGGCGAGUGGAAUUGCAGGUGUAGCGGUGAAAUGCGUAGAUAUCUGCAGGAACACCCGUGGCGAAGGCGGCAUCCUGGACCGAGAUUGACGCUGAGGAGCGAAAGCUAGGGGAGCAAACGGG
rnacentral:rRNA from 1 species